ACGGCUCAGUAACACGUGGACAACCUGCCCUUAGGUUGGGUAUAAACCCGGGAAACUGGGUAUAAUACCCGAUAGGUCUCGAUUGCUGGAAUGCAUCGAGAUUUAAAGCUCCGGCGCCUAAGGAUGGGUCUGCGGCCUAUCAGGUAGUAGUGGGUGUAGCGUACCUACUAGCCUACGACGGGUACGGGUUGUGAGAGCAAGAGCCCGGAGAUGGAUUCUGAGACACGAAUCCAGGCCCUACGGGGUGCAGCAGGCGCGAAAACUUUACAAUGCUGGCAACAGCGAUAAGGGAACCUCGAGUGCCAGGUUACAAAUCUGGCUGUCGAGAUGCCUAAAAAGCAUUUCAUAGCAAGGGCCGGGCAAGACCGGUGCCAGCCGCCGCGGUAACACCGGCGGCUCGAGUGGUAACCGUUAUUAUUGGGUCUAAAGGGUCUGUAGCCGGCCGGAUAAGUCUCUUGAGAAAUCUGGCAGCUUAACUGUCAGGCUUUCAGGAGAUACUGUCUGGCUCGAGGCCGGGAGAGGUGAGAGGUACUUCAGGGGUAGGGGUGAAAUCUUGUAAUCCUUGAAGGACCACCAGUGGCGAAGGCGUCUCACCAGAACGGACCUGACGGCAAGGGACGAAAGCUAGGGGCACGAACCGGAUUAGAUACCCGGGUAGUCCUAGCCGUAAACGAUACUAGCUAGGUGUCGGCCACGGUGCGACCGUUGUCGGUGCCGUAGGGAAGCCGUGAAGCGAGCCACCUGGGAAGUACGGCCGCAAGGCUGAAACUUAAAGGAAUUGGCGGGGGAGCAC
rnacentral:rRNA from 1 species